rnacentral:rRNA from 1 species
UUGGAGGGCAAGUCUGGUGCCAGCAGCCGCGGUAAUUCCAGCUCCAAUAGCGUAUAUUAAAGUUGUUGCAGUUAAAAAGCUCGUAGUUGAACUUCGGGGUUUACCCAUUGGUCAGGCUUAAUUGUCUGUACUGGUGAGAUGAAUCUCUACCUUCUGAGGAACUUUCAUGCCAUUUAGUUGGUGUGAUAGGAAAUCAGGACUGUUACUUUGAAAAAAUUAGAGUGUUUAAAGCAGGCUAACGUCUGAAUACAUUAGCAUGGAAUAAUGAAAUAGGACGGAUUGGUUCUAUUUCGUUGGUUUCUAGGAUCACCGUAAUGAUUAAUAGGGAUAGUUGGGGGCAUUAGUAUUCAAUUGUCAGAGGUGAAAUUCUUGGAUUUAUUGAAGACUAACUAUUGCGAAAGCAUUUGCCAAGGAUGUUUUCAUUAAUCAAGAACGAAAGUUAGGGGAUCGAAGACGAUCAGAUACCGUCGUAGUCUUAACCAUAAACUAUGCCGACUAGGGAUCGGACGAAGUUAAUUUUAUAAUGACGCGUUCGGCGCCUUACGGGAAAC